rnacentral:rRNA from 1 species
UUGAGUGCUUGCACUCUUUGGACGUCGACCGGCGCACGGGUGAGUAACGCGUAUCCAACCUUCCCAUUACUGUGGGAUAACCUGCCGAAAGGCAGACUAAUACCGCAUAGUCUUCGAUGACGGCAUCAGAUUUGAAGUAAAGAUUUAUCGGUAAUGGAUGGGGAUGCGUCUGAUUAGCUUGUUGGCGGGGUAACGGCCCACCAAGGCGACGAUCAGUAGGGGUUCUGAGAGGAAGGUCCCCCACAUUGGAACUGAGACACGGUCCAAACUCCUACGGGAGGCAGCAGUGAGGAAUAUUGGUCAAUGGACGGAAGUCUGAACCAGCCAAGUAGCGUGCAGGAUGACGGCCCUAUGGGUUGUAAACUGCUUUUGUAUGGGGAUAAAGUUAGGGACGUGUCCCUAUUUGCAGGUACCAUACGAAUAAGGACCGGCUAAUUCCGUGCCAGCAGCCGCGGUAAUACGGAAGGUCCAGGCGUUAUCCGGAUUUAUUGGGUUUAAAGGGAGCGUAGGCUGGAGAUUAAGUGUGUUGUGAAAUGUAGACGCUCAACGUCUGAAUUGCAGCGCAUACUGGUUUCCUUGAGUACGCACAACGUUGGCGGAAUUCGUCGUGUAGCGGUGAAAUGCUUAGAUAUGACGAAGAACUCCGAUUGCGAAGGCAGCUGACGGGAGCGCAACUGACGCUUAAGCUCGAAGGUGCGGGUAUCGAACAGGAUUAGAUAACCUGGUAGUCCGCACAGUAAACGAUGGAUGCCCGCUGUUGGUACCUGGUAUCAGCGGCUA